rnacentral:rRNA from 1 species
GAUUUCUGGCUUGAAACAUUUUGUCGGCCACGGUUUCGUGUGUUAGUGCAUUAUGUUCUGGCCAUCCUUCCUAUCGCUAUUUACCUUUCUUCAUUGAUUGGUAAGUGGUAUAGGAUCUUUUACUUUGAAAAAAUUAGAGUGUUUCAAGCAGGCUUUAUGCUAUGAAUACAUUAGCAUGGAAUAAUAAUUUAGGACUUUGGUUCUAUUUUGUUGGUUUCUAGAACUCGAGUAAUGAUUGAUAGGGAUAGUUGGGGGUGCUAGUAUUCAGUGGCCAGAGGUGAAAUUCUUGGAUUCACUGAAGACUAACUUAUGCGAAAGCAUU